UGGGAGAUCGUCUAGCGGUAGGACAAUAGGUUCUGGACCUAUUAACCGGGGUCCGAAUCCCUGUCUCCCAGCCA
rnacentral:tRNA from 1 species